CAUGGUGGCAGGCACACAGGAGAGAAAGAUUUCCCCUUCUUGAUUUUCUAGAGGUAGCAGGAAUAAUCUGUCACUGCUGGAUGUGCCAGAACUUCCCUAAGGUUUUAAACCCAGCAAUAUAUAUAUAUAUGCGCCAUGCUUCAAUUUUGCUCUGAGGCAGAGUUCAAAUUUCAACUCUCCAGUCAUGAUAAAAAAU